GAUGAAGAACGCAGCGAAAUGCGAUAAGUAAUGUGAAUUGCAGAAUUCAGUGAAUCAUCGAAUCUUUGAACGCACAUUGCGCCCGCCAGUAUUCUGGCGGGCAUGCCUGUUCGAGCGUCAUUACAACCCUCAGGCCCCCGGGCCUGGCGUUGGGGAUCGGCGGAGCCCCCCGUGGGCACACGCCGUCCCCCAAAUACAGUGGCGGUCCCGCCGCAGCUUCCAUCGCGUAGUAGCUAACACCUCGCGACUGGAGAGCGGCGCGGCCACGCCGUAAAACACCAAACUCUUCUGAAGUUGACCUCGAAUCAGGUAGGAAUACCCGCUGAACUUAAGCAUAUCAAUAAGCGGAGGA
rnacentral:misc_RNA from 1 species